AGAAUCUGUCCUUCCAGGGAACACCUAAGUUUAAGGGUCCCUAGAAGAAUAGGUUCAGGUCUGCUGACCAGAACAGGGUUCGGGAGUUCGGUUACGUGUGAGGAAGGUUAUAGCACCCUCACAACGCCCAUCAAAAGAUGGUACCAGCUUGAAUUUGUGUUAUCCAAAAGCCUUAAAAUUUUAUCAAGUAGUUAGUUGUUGAAAAUUAUUCUCAAUUGACUCUAAUACUUUUAGCAGAAAAUUGAGAAAAUUCCCUCACCUCAGGAG
rnacentral:lncRNA from 1 species